CCGGCUCUCACGACAGAUCUGAUGCCUCCCAGGCCAUUGCCACGUUGUAACAUAUACAAUUGAAUGUCGUGCAUUACCACGAAAUAAAAAUAUGAUGUCCGUUGUUGGGCAAACAACUAAUACGCCAGUGUGUCCGUUAUUAACUCCAACCAUGAGAAUCCGCAUAAUACUUAUAUUCUCCAACUAUGAGAAUCCCCAUAAUACUUAUUUACUUCAACUAUGAGUAUCCACACAUCUUUCUUUGUCCUCUCCACUUUCAUUCAUGCGUUCUGCUUUCUUCCUCUGACCAACCAGCUAACCAAGAUCUGCAAAAAGGAAUAAAAUUGUAAAGCAAUUUAGCAUAGUAACGCAGCACUUAUAUAUUAUAUAUUGGCGAAAACAUGUGAUCAUCUGCCCAGCAAAUACCUUUCAUUGAGUUAGUUAUUAUUACACGUGCAUUGUUCCAUUCACUCGGCAAUAAAUGGAUGAUCUUUUCGAUAUAAAAUGCUAUAUGUGAACUACAAAGUGAUCGAAGAUCACAUUAGAUGGAGAUAUUGCUACUAACUCAGCAGCUGGAACUACCGCGAAUACUAAUAUUAGCUUUGACACUUGUCUAUAGCUAAGUAAUGGGAUCAAAUUUGUCUUCUUUAAAAAAAACUUGUAAGAUCAGUUUCGUACUUUUUUGAAUGAAUUGGCAAUGUUCCUCAAUUAAAUUCAGCAUAAGGCCUUUAAUUAAAGUUGGUCCUCAGUUCUUGUUUUAUGCUCAUUUUAUUUGGACCAACACAAAAGCUUUGUGUGAGUUUAAUAAAUAACUCUAAGCUAACUCAAGUUUACACAUAAACUCAAAAUUACAAGGAAAAUGGAAAAAUAUAAUGCUGCCAUGUUCAAAAGGUUUCCUCUGCAAACUUAGCCGCUGCCAAUGGUUAUCCAACAACAAACUAAAAAGAUAAUAUAAUCAUUAAAUAUUACUCCCUCCGUUCCUAAAUAUAAGUCUUUUUAGACAUUUCAAAUGGACAACAUACGGAUGUAUGUAGACAUAUUUUAGAGUGUAGAUUCACUAAUUUUGCUCCGUAUGUAGUCAUUUGUUGGAAUCUCUAGAAAGACUUAUAUUUAGGAACGGAGGGAGUACUCUAGAAGGAAUCUCGUUGCAUGACAAUUUGUACCAUAAAUCAUGUUUACUACAUAAGCAACUUUAUAUAUACCAUGUCCCAAAUAAACUCUUGUAAAUACACCAGAGGUCUUAGAACUUGCACGCGGCGGUCAUUUUGGUGCACAAAGUUGUAAAAUACGUGUUUGUGGUCACUAAACUUGCGAGACUGUUCAAAUACAGUCACUCUCUCUGUAUGCAGGCGUAUCCGUCGACGCCAGCAUGGCACGGGCCCGCUGUUAAUGACACAUGGACGCAUUUUUGCACAAAACCCGUUCUUCUUCUUCUUCUUUUCUAUGCAAAAUAAAAAAUCAACCAUCGAUGGGACGAAAAGUUUAACUGCCAGCUCUCGAACCCCCGACCUAAUGCUAGUACAAUACAGGUCACACAAACUGCACCACACAUCUGUAGACAGCUAUUAAGGAUAACUAAGAUUAAUGUACAAAAACGGAAGCGCUCAUGGAACAGAAAUGGGCUGUGGUCCGGCGACCCAUUUUGCACUUGUUUAUUUUUCAGAAAUUUGUAGAUAGUAUGUAAAUUCUAAUGCCAUUAAUAAGAGAACUUUCAAAUAUUUUUCAUGUAUUAUUCUAAAAUAAUACUUAUGAAUUAUAAAAAUGCUCGCAUAAUAAUAACACCAAUUGUUUUUAAAAUAUUCAUAAUAAUAAAAUGUGCAUUUUCUUAGAAAUAUUCAUAAUUAAAAAACAAUAUGUAUCAUUACACCUAUUCGUUUUAUUUGAGAAAUUCGUGGAUCACAAAAAAUUGUUCGUGUAUUAUUUUCAAAUAAUAUUGUUUGUGCAAUUCAAAAUAUGUACAUGCAUUAAAAAAACUACAUGAAAUUUAUAAAAAUGUUUAAACACUGAACAAUAUUCAUGUAAAUUAAGAAAUGUACAUUGCAUUUAAAAAAAUGUUGGCACAUUUCAAAAAAAAAAUUGUGAAUUUUACAGAAUGUACAAUUAUGUUCGCAUGGUUCAAAAAACUGUUCGCGUAGUUUUUCUAUUGCAUGAACAUAUUUUGAAUUACACGACCACUUUUUACAAUGUUUAAACAUUUUUUAAAAUGGCACGUACUUACAGAGAACAAGAGUGAUAAGAACAUAUACAUUGUCUAUCUCUAAAUUACAUCACAUGUCGCAGUUGCUUGGCGGUUGGCUUAUGCGCGAGUGAAUCUCCAUGUCACAGGUUCGAACCCACCGGUUGCACUUUGCAUUCUUAUUAUUAGAAGACAUAAAUUUCUUCAUUAUUAUUUUUUGGGUCCACCCUGAUAGGAUGUAUAAUAUAGUCGUGCAAAGUAAACACAUGAUACUGUUGGCGUGGUGGUUGUUCAGUCGUGCCACUCAGCAGUACGUCCAAGGAUGGAACCCCGCCGCCCCACUAUUUUUCUUAUUUUAGGGGUUCCUAUGUAAAUAAAAAAAGAGCUGCGGGCUUUUCUACAAAUCUAUCAUACAAGAGCAAUUACAGUGGUUGACAGCGGGCCCGUGCCAUGCUGGCGUUGACGGAUACGCAUGCAUACGGUGAGAGUGACUGUAUUUGAACGGCCUCGCAAGUUUAGUGACCACAAACACGUAUUUUGCAACUUUGUGCACCAAAGUGACCGCCGCGCGCAAGUUUUAAGACCUCUAGUGUAUUUACCUCUAAACUCGAGAAUAAUCAAAUGGUGAGGUGAACAAGAUCUCUAGCUCGUACCAAGAAUUCAAUGUUUUAUGGGUAUGUGCAUCAUUUGAUGCACAUGCUUUUACGAAAAGACGAAGUAAUUCAUUUAUUUUGCAUGUCACACUGUUCAACUGCUAAUGUUUUAUGUUAAGUACUCCCUCCGCCCGAAAUUACUUGCCGCUCAAACGGCAUUCAUUUGAGCGACAAGUAAUUCCAAACAGAGGAAGUAAUAAUUAGUUCUCCAUCCAAUUGAAUUCAACAAAGCCUGGCAAAAAUCUUAUUUACCUUCUGAUCAGUUGAGACUUGAGAGAGCCACAGGCUCCUUACCACGGAAGAGCACGAUCCAUGAAUCUGCGCAGCAAUCCCAUCAACGAGAUUAGUUGCUUGUCUUUGGAGCAAGCCAUCUAAUCUCUAAAUGCAUUUACUGCUGAAAAGCACAACCCACUACUUCUUCAUAUCCACAUCGUUCAUCUCCCUGUAUCAUUAAUUAGCAGGCUUUCCAUCUUUGCUAAAGACAAGGUGCAGCCUCUGCUGCUGGUAGUGUAGUUCGACACCUACGCAAGAACACAGAAGCCACAUACCGUCAGAUCACAAGGCUCAGUGUGUGAAAAGAAGGUUUCAAAUACCGUGUAAUCGCAAACCAUUCUUCAUAAAACUGAAAACACACGGUACAGCUCGGUAUGGAAUAACACUUCUGCUCUUCCGGAUCGUUUUCUUCACCACCGGUGUAUGCAAGCGACCUUCCCUUUUUUGCUUGUGGCCGGGUAGGCCACCUUCCUACCCAGGGACAUGUUUUAUGGUAAAAGGAGGAGCCUUUUGCCCUUUGCAGGUGAGCGGCGUCCGUGUACUAUAGUGGCGGUGUGGGGUGGUCUAGGUGUGUAUAUAACAAGUCACAGUUGGGGGAAUUAUGAUAGUGUAAAUUACCUUGGGAGAAGAAAAUGUUUUCUCUCGACUCGCCCGCUCUUUCCACCAUCUUCCUCUUAGCAGAUUGCCUAUGCAAAUUGUCAGUAGUGGCAAAUAUUGAUUCAACGACAUAAGUUAUGACUAUUGCUACAUAUGCAAAAUAGGAGGCAAAAAAGUUACAAGAUAUGUCAAGGUAGAAACAUAGGACAUAGUAAGUAUUUUCAGAUCCGUGCAUGUAAUCCUUGAGAAGUUGAGGGAGGUAUUCCAGUAUCUCCCUAAAUAUAAUUUCUUUGAUGUCUUCUUUGGUAAACUUUCUUUGUUCAAACUCGAAAUCAUUUUUCAAGUUCAUGAGCAUGAUGCUUCUCUCUCCACUUCCACGGGAUCCUUAAAAAAGAGAUAAACCAUGAAUGUAUGACUUUGUAAAGUAAAAACAAAUGACAACGAAUUUGACUGAUCACUCUGAAUCCGACGGUGACAAUCAAAUGCGUACCAUCGCGCACCUGCUUAACCCCCAAGCCUCGAGGGCCACCCUCAUGUGUGUGUGUGCCGCUGCCCUGCUCCAAAGACUACUCUUUGCCGCUGCACCGACGUCACACACACAGCCAUGCCACAGUACAACGCUGUGCUGAGGCUACACACAUGACCAUGCCACAGUACAGCACUACCGUCUUGCUCUUUAUGCUUUUUCCCCAUGCAGUCCCAGCCUCCACCCCGCCUCCCCAUCUACAUAGCCACGACGGGGCCAUACCAGCUCACGCCGACACCCACCCAGGGGCAUCAUGUACACUCGGAUACCCUCUGAAUACUGCAGAUAUAAGGAUGAAAAACAGAAGUUCAGUUAGUGCCUUACUUCAAGAAUAUCAAGACCCUGCAUUAGAGAUCUAUAUAUCUCAGUUUUGGUUGCAAUCAUCUUGACAAUCAGAGAGACCACUCUGCCCCUCAACUAAUUAAUAGUACUGUUCUGUUUGACUCAUCAACUUGAGCAAACACAAACACUUUUAGUCAAGGUACAGGCUACAAUCGUCAGUACAUCUAGGUAGCAGUCAUAUGAAUAUAAGCUCAGAUGGAAACUUACGUGCUUCAUCCUCUUCUUUUCAAUCAUCAUCGUCAUCAAACUCGAUAUACUGCAGAGUGAGAACAUGUGAGUCAAACCUGACAAUAUUUUACCAACAAAAUUAUGCAUGUGCACCCAUUUCAUAAGAAUAUGGGUUGUAUGUCAUAAAAAUAUAUUAUCGAAAAAUUCUUUGAAAUGUGCAUCUAAUGGCAUAUAACUCAUAUUUUGUUGGUAUAAUCAAUUGUCAAAGUUAGAUAAAAAAUAUGAAGUGGUCAUUUAUUAGUAGAUGGAUGGAGUAUUUACUUCAAAACUGAGAUGGGGAAUGACCGAAAAGCUUCAUGUUUACCUUUUAUUUAACGCUUAUUUGCAGGAAUCAGUAUGGGGGAUGUGGUGAUUGUUGGAGCAUCUCUUUUUCAGUUUCCCGCGCCAAGACCUAAAGAAAAAAAUGCCGAGUGUGGGGGGCUGACCUUGCUGCUGCAGGCUAGCGUAGAUCGAGGAGGCAGUGGCUGCGGGUUUGUAGUAAGACGUCAGGAGAGGGUGAUGCCUGGGUCAUUGGAUGUCACCCCCAAGCAUCGAUCUCCCCUUCCUGCUUUUGAUUGCCUCCCGAUCUCACAAGAGCGGCUGGAAGACACACGUGCCGCUGGGCUCAUCUUCCUCGUCGCCCCAUGUAGGAGAUGAAUACAACACCCAUGGCCGGGAUACGCGGACGCGGGCACCGGCUGCCCUACACGCGGGAAGAUGGAUAGUACCAUGCCCCGACCUUGACGGCUCACCGGCGGCUCGGAUCUGGAGUGGAGGCGUCGGCGGGUGAGGAGGCCACGACCAUCGUGGCGUCGGCGGAGACCCAUGGCGUGGGCUGCACAUCAAGACAGGGCGGGGGCGCGCUGCAGUGGAGAGGUCGCGCGCGAUUGGGCGGGCGCUGGUGAGCGUGAGGCCCUGGGUCGAGGAGAUCAGGCGGCGCUCGAAGCCGCCUCCCCGCCAUGGUGGGAGGUGCCAUCUAGAUCGGGGGAAAGAGAGGCGAGGGGAUGGAUGGGAGAAGGUGCGAGGCUAGAGAUCGGAGAGAGGACGGCGGCGGCGACGGGAGGGGAUCGAGAGGAAGGGCGUUCCUCCUACGGGGUGGUUUUCUUGGGGUGCGUGCGUGGGGUGGGGUGAGGUGGGGUGGGGAGGUGACGAAAAAAAACCAGUCGAAAAAAAACCAGACGAAAGUGGGGGAACUAUUCAACCAACUCGUCCAUUAGGAGUAGAGAUAAAGCAUCUGUCGAACAAGACUGCUCGUAAAAAAUAGACUACUAAUACCAGAUCCUAACGGAUAAUGAAAAUAACAAAUAUACAAAUAUGAACAGGCUCGCGUGUAUGUAUCAAAAAAAAAAUUAUCAGACAUGAGUCAUCCAAACUUCUGAACUAUAUUAUGUGAGCUUCGAGGUCUUGACAAUAUGAACUUCAAGAAGAUACACUAGAAUUGUACAAUAUGAUUUUUUCUGAAAGAGGUGCAAAAACGAACUUGUUGUAGACGUAUUCCCACAAGAACAGAUAUAAUGCACAUGUAUGAAUAUUUGUUGCUCACAAAAAUUUGGGCAUAGGACAAAAGAUGUUGUUAGUUAUCAGAGACAUAACCACAAACAGUUGAGGGCAUCAAAUCAGCACAACUUUCACGAAACUUGUACAAAAAAUUUAUCCAAAGAAACAGGGGACUAGGGGACUAGCCGUUCACUCUAGAUGCAGCAAUCACAGGAGUGGAUGCACAGAAAUUGCAGAACCUGGAUAGGGACUAGCAGUGUAGUUGGACUGAUGCGAAGCCGGCCUAGGUGUGAGCCAGCCAUCUCCUCUCCAGGUCCGAAGCAUGGAGCCGGGCCAGCACCAUCCUCGCGUGCGAGCGACCGCCAGGACGUGGAGGAGAUGGGGGUGCAGGGCGUUGGGUUUGGGAGGAGCCACUAGUGGCGGCGUAGCAUCUUGGUGGCAGGCGGCGGCUCGGGUUCUUGGAGGGCGGCGCCGGCGUUUGUUCCACAGGGCCGACGAUGGCUUCAACACCGGCGGAGGAGGUGAUGCAGGGGCGGAGAGGGGUGGAGUUGUGUCGGAGACCCCUGGAUGGCUGGGAUUUGGGAGCUAAUGUGGUGAACAUCCAGGAGCGCCGUCGUUGAACAGCCGGAGGUGGCGAUGCCGAACGACAUGAGCGCCGCGAUGGUGGAUCCCCAUCGGGAGGAGGCUACGUGAGUGAGGGGGCGCAGGCUUGCUCGUCUUCAGUCUGGGACUCUGGCAGCGGUGGGCGGGAUCCAGAGCCAGGCGUCGGCGCCCCGGAUCCACGGCUCACGGCGGCGCUCGAGGCCUGUGGGCGGUGGAGGUUUGGGGCGGCGGCGCGGCGCGCAUCGCCGAUGGGCGGCGGUGGGGGUUAGCCGGUGGGCGGCGGCGCGAGGCCGGCGAGGAGGGGCUACGAGAUGCUGACGGGCAGGGCGGCGCGGCGCGGCAGGCAGGGGAGGGCGGUGCGGUGGUUUGGUCGAUGGGGAUCGGGGGAUGGUGAGGCGUCGUCGAGGGAGAGGAGAAGGUCGUGGGUGUGGUAGUGGGCCGUUCCGGGGUGUGCACAACGGGCCAGUUUUUUCUCUGUUUGCGAUCUCAGGAACAUCACAUCGCGCCCUAUAUAGAGACGUUGUGAUCAGAAUAACUAUUAGAAUAGUGCUACUCGACGCAACAAGAAAAAAUGAACCCACCCCGAACCCCAGUCUCCCCACCUCCCAUGACCAACCUGCUCGAUCCCCAUCCCCCGCCGCCGUGGGCCGGCGAGCAAACUCGCCCCAUACGGUGAACCCCACCGCCGCGGGCCGCCCACCCAUCGUAGUGCGCCCCUUCAACCCCCGCCACCGUGGGUCGCCCAUCUACCGCGCCUCACCUGGUCAACCCCGCCACCACGCGCUUCCCAACCAUCGCGCCGCGCGCCGCCAUCCACACCGCCGCGCGCCGCCCGCAAUCCCCGCCUCCAUGACUCCUCCUUUGUCAUCCCGUUCUGCGGCAGCAAAUUUCGGCGGCCAUCCCGUUGAACAGCUUGGAUCUAGGGCGUCGGCGAGCAACUGCAGGUGCAGGGGGGACGAGAGGGACGAAGACGUGGCAAAGGAGCUCCAGCUCGAUCUUCUCGGCUGCCGGCGGAGGAGCGGAGCCCCCCGCGCGCAGGUCUGGCCUGAUUCUUCUCGUCCGCCGUCGUGCGUUCAGAGGCCUCCCGCGCUCGAGCUCCUACAGGUGACAGGCAUCUCGUUCUUGCUGAUUGUUGUUGCCGCCACUGAGCUUCUCUGAUUCACCACUAUUCUUUGCAAUUCGCCCAUGCCUCUGUUUCUCUGGACCAUAAUAAAGAGAGAAAUUCAUCCUAGCUGAGAGACAGAGUUGAGGUUCAACGUGUAUAUUAAAUAAAAGAAGAUUGUAGUGAUUACGAGUAUGUGGCUGCCUAUAGUUCUUGUGUUUAAUGCAAACAAUCCCCUUUCCUUCCCUGUAGCAGUGGACACGAGCAGGCAAGGUGCUUCUCCUAUCGCGUCUGCUGGCAGAAGUGGAAAUCUAGCCGGCGUGCAGGUUCUUGUGCAGGUGGGUGUGCUAGUGUAGUUUUUCAGUUGACGAUCUAGCUAGCGCACUUUUUUCAGGUUGGCAUUGUUCAGUUUGAAAAGGUACAACAGUUCACUUAGUGAAUACGCCACCAAUUAACUUUGGAAAAGUACGCUGCUGAGCACUUCUCCAUCUAGAUUUGUUCUUGUUUAUGCCCCUCGAAGUAGAUGAUUCCUCGCACCUGAACUGUCGAAAGUCUAUACUGCAUUUUUUUGUAACUUCAGUGUAGUGAGCAGAUGGGGGCACCAGCAACGAACCAGCGGCGACCGGGCCUUCUCUCAUCCAUGAGCUGGCCCCACUCAACCUCUGUCUCCAGGACGAAGACGAUGUCCACGGCGCUGCCCAGCGGGAAGGGCAACAAAAAAGUUAAAAAAAAAUUGCUAGUGCAGCUGAUUGCCUCCUCUGUGUUGUGAUGUACUUCCUCUGUAAACAAAUGUAAGAGCGUUUAGAUCACUAAAAUAGUAAUAUAAACACUCUUAUAUUAGUUUACGGAGGGAGUACUAUGUUGUGUAGAUUUUUUUUGAAUUCAUGUUGUGAACCCAACUAAGGUUGAGCACAAAAGUUUAGAUGGCGGCUGGUUUGAAUUUUCUCCUAUAGCAGAAAUCUCGCUUCCCUCCUAUUGUACUAUAUCCACUUGUGUGUUGUUUGUCAAUGCUUUUUGUCUGAAGUUUAGUAGUACCUGUGGGUGCAAAAAAAUUGGUGUUGUGAUACAUAGGUUCAGUUUCUUAGGUCAUUCAAAAGAAAAUGAAAAAAAAAUGUAUUUUCGUCUCCAAAAAGCAUCAAUGAUGUGGAGUGCUUAUCUUCUUGUGUACUUCUAUCGAUGCUUGUGUUUCAUGGAGAGAGAGAGAGAGAGAAAGAAAGAGAGAGAUAAUCAUUCAUGUUUCCAUUCUUUCUAUGUACUUCAGAGACAUUUUAUGACAGAGAAAAAAGGUUAAUGACACAUUCUUUUGAGAGAUACAUAGUGGUUCGGGCUUCAAUGCUUUUUUACACGAAAGUUCAUGUUUCAGAAAUUUCUAAGUUCACGUGUACCACAUACUGAAGAAAUUCAUCAAUGAAAAAAGGGCCGCCUAGGACAUUUAACCGACAACAAAAAUGCCUGAAAAUGUUGUGAGACAAAAGACACUUCACAAGAUAUAACAUAGUAAGUUCGUAGAAAGUGGAAAACCCCUUAAUUUUGUUUUGUAAGUUUAACCAUUUCUAAAAACAAUACCUUGAAGUUCAAAUGUAAAUAAUAGGGCGGUUCAAUGUUUAUUACAAACCUAUGAUUUUCCCCGUUACUAUAGAAUAAACCAAGAAGUUCAAAAAAAAUGACGUAGUUCGAUUUUAAAAAAAAAGGUGUUUCUACAUUUUACUAAAAAAUGGAGAAGUUCAAAUUUAAAUAACAUAGAAGUUCAAAAUGAUUAUUUCAAAACCAAGAAGGUCAAACGAAAAAAACCGAGCAGUUUAAAAAGUUUGUAAACAUGGAUUUGCCCCCUGUUUUUUUAAGAUCCAGAAGUUCAAAUUUAAAGAAGUGAGCGGUUCGAUGUUUAUUACAUAAUUAGGACUUUUCCCUUUACUAAUAAAUAACACCAAGAAGUCCUAAUUGAAAAAUGAAGUUGUUUGAUGUUUAUAAAAAUCUUAGAUUUUUCCCGAUACUAAAGAUUAAAACCACGAAGUUCAAUUUUAAAAAACGGAGUAGUUCAAUGCAUAUUAAAUACUCAGUUUUUUCUCGUUACUAAAUAAUAAAUCCAAGAAGUUCAAUUUUUAAAAGCAGAGCAGUUUGAUAUUUAUUUGUAAACUUAGUUUUUUUCUGGUUACUAAAGAACAAGACCAAUAAGUUCUAUUCUAAAAUAACGAAGAAGUUCGAUGUUUGUAACAAAACUACAAUUUUCAAAUUUCUAGAAAAAAACACAAAAAAAGUUCAAAUAAAAAAUUUAGAGCGUUCGAUGUGUGUAAAAACUCAAAUUUUUUCCGUUACUAAAGUGAAGUAGAUAGAAGUUCAAAGCGAUAACAGCUAGAAGUUCACGUACUGCAUGGUGUGUGUUUCAUACGAAAAAAGAGAGUAAAAAGGCGAAGUCUAAAUUUUUUGUUGCUAGAAGUUCAAGUGCUCUUCCGUCGGAAGUUCAAACAUUCUUGAGAGAGAGAGGUUCACCGCGUAUUUCCAUGUUCGAAAACACAAAAAAGAAAUUGUUUUUUGUGUUUUAAAAUAAUUCUCUCAAUACACAAAGAAGUUCAGUUAUUAUUUGAUAGCAAUUUGAUUUCAAAAAAGAAAAUAAAAAAUUCAAAUUAUAAAAAUGGAAAAAGUUCAUGUACUACAUGGUGUGUGUUUAAUAUGGGAAAAAUGAAUAAAAAGGCAAAGUUUUCCUCGUUAUUAAAGAAUGGAAACAAGAAGUUCAGAAAUUAAAUAACAAAGAAGUUCAACUUUUAAUAAUAGAGCGCUUCAAAAUUUCAUAAAAAGAUUGAGAAAUAAAACCAGGAAGUCCAUAUUAAAAAGAUGGAGAAAUUCGAUGAUUAUAGAAAACUUAGAUUUUCCUUGUUAUUAAAGAAUGGAAACAAGAAGUUCAAAAAUUAAAUAACAAGACGUUCAACUUUUAAUAAUUGAGCGCUUCAAAAUUUCGUAAAAAAGAUUAAGAAAUAAAACCAGGAAGUCCAUAUUAAAAAGAUGGAGAGGUUCGAUGAUUAUAGAAAACUCAGAUUUUCCUCGUUAUUAAAGAAUGGAAAAAAGAAGUUCAAAAAUUAAAUAACAAGAAGUUCAACUUUCAAUAAUAGAGCGUUUCAAAAUUUCAUAAAAAGGGAUUAAGAAAUUCAGAUUAAUAUUCAUAAAAAACUCAGAUAUUUUCAUGUAACCGAGAGAAGUUCAGAUUGAUAACUGCCAGAAGUUCACGUACUACACGGUGUGCAUUUUGUAUUAAAAAAAGAAUAAAAAGCAAAGACUAAAUUUUUUAUUGUUAUAAGUUCAAGUACUCCGUCGGAGAAAGUUCAAAAAAUUAUUGUGAGAGUGGUUUGUACAAAAGGAAUAUCAUUUGUGUAACACUAACAAAUAGAUGAGAAAAUUAUAAAUAAAAAUACGUCACAGAAGUUCAACGUGAAAACAGCAGGAAGUUCAACUACUACAGUGAAUAAAUUUUAGAUGAAAAACUUCUAAAAUCGCCACGAGUAUGAAAAAAUGAUCAACACGGGAAAGUUGCGUGUUUACAGCAGCUUUCCACUUGUAUAUCACUUGCUCAAUUCCGGUGAGUGUUCCGGUGAGUGGAUGGAGAGCUACGAGAAAAAAAGCACGUGAGAAACAGAGUGAAGUUCAAGUAAACAUGCCGAGAAGUUCAAGUUCUUCAUGCGGUGCAUUUUUAAAGAAUCUAUUUCGUGAAAAAGGCAGAAGGAAUGAUCCUGCCGUUUUUGAAAUAACUUGAAAACGGCUAGGAAUCAGAGAAAACCAUCAAAAUGAAAAAGUUUCACAUUUUCCGUAGCUUUUCAACGGUAUAUUAUUUGCCCCAUUCCGAUAAAAGUUGUAAAAAUUACAGCAAAUAUACAUUUUUAGCCAUUUUAAAAAUUGACUUAAAACAGUAAUGAAUUGGGAGAAAUAAUAUAUACCAAAACGUUUCGCAUUUCCUCAAGCUUUCCAACGCCAUAUUAUUUGCUACAUUCGGACGUAAGGUUAAAAAAUUAGCUCGAAAAUACGAACUCGGUGGAACUUGUACCGUUUUCUAAAUUACUUUUAAACCGUUCAAAAUUAGAAAAAACUUUCAAUGAGAGAAAGUAGCGCAUUUUUAUAGGCUUUCCAACGCCAUAUCAUUUUCCUCAAUUGGAUUAGCCGUUUAGAAAUGACAUCGAAAAUACGAACUCGGCUGUUCAGUUUACGAAAUUUUUAUGAUUUUCCAAAUUACUCUUUAACCAUAAGGAAUUAGAGAUAACUUUCAACAUGUGGAAGGAGUGGUUUUAUAGCAGCUUUCCAACGCCAUAUUAUUUGCCUCAUUCCGAUAAACAGUUUAGAAAUGCGAUCGAAACUACGAUUCACGUUUUUUGUAUGAAGAAAAAACGGUUUUCAAAACUGCUCUUAAACCUCUUACAUUUUGCCAAAAAUUUAACUUGUGUAAUGAUAUUGGUGUCCAUAGCUUUCCAACGGUAUAUCGCAAGCCCCAUUUGAGCAAUGUUGGCGGAAGUUCAACCUAGCACUGGGAGAAGUUCAGGUCGAACAACUUAGGCAGUAAAAUUGCAAAAAAAAGCAAUUUCAUCACAACCCGAGAGCAAAAUCCGCCAAUGAGCGAUAUUCCUAUUUAAAACGGGUAUUUAGUUGCUAAAAACGUUUCUAGAUUACCCUAACAUCAUAUAUAACACAACUAAACAGAAUAAUUCGCGCGGGAAGACACGGUUGCGAAGAUAGCCCGAAGGUCGGGUUCGUACAGAGGGAAGUUCAGGCGCGUUACUCAGGCAGUUCAGGUUGUGAUCAGAAUAUUAUUCUGGUCCCGUGAUCAUAAUAGUGUUUAUGCAUAUUGUUGGGGAUAUUACCACUUGGCGUAAACCGGCCAGGAGAGGCCGGGUUAACCCCUUAAGUAGUUCAUCUGUAUCUGAAGUCCAUGAAGACAGACGGUGACGCUUUAUGAAGGCCCAGGGCCCAAAGCCGGUUUAAGGCCUGUAGACAUAAACCGGCAUUAAUAUGUAAACUUGUGUUGUAAGAUAGAAGUAGCAAAGACCGAGCCGGACCACGAUUAUGAGCCGGCCUCGGGAUUCUGUAAACCGACGGGCGUCAACCCAUGUAUAUAAGGGGACGACCCGGCAGAUGUUCAAGGACGAUAGACAACAACUCGAGACUCGGGCAAAGCGUAUUCGCUCCCUGGUCAUCGAAACCCCAGCAAUUCCAUCACAACUAGACGUAGGCUUUUACCUUCAUCGUAAGGGGCCGAACUAGUAUAAAAUUCUCUUGCGUCCCUUGUCCGCUUUAACCCCUUUAAGUUAACCCGUAGCGAUGGCUCCACGACUAAGUCCUUUCUCUAGGAUAUCUGCCGUGACAAAACCACGACAGUUGGCGCCCACUGUGGGGCUAUCGCACGAUGGUUUCAAGUUCUUGGAGGCCAACUUCGAAGGACUCAAGGGUUAUGCUGUGGGCCGGAUGACCAAGAGUCGUCGCGACAAGCUUUACAUCGACGAUGCAGGCUGGGGCCCCGAGGCCGGCUCAAUCGAGUACGGGUACCGGGUCCCCUUUGGUGGCAUACACGUUUUCAUUGGCAAGAUCGGCGAACCGGGCCCUGAGCCGGACAUCUGCACUGACCUCGUCGAAACGGCUCAGCGUGCGAGAUCUGCCCGGGUCAAGCCUGUCAUGAAGCGUGCCUUCGUAGGAGUUAUCCAUGGAGGGCAAUCUGAGGAUAGAUCGGAAUCUGGUGGUGAGACCGUCGUUUAUUCCGGCGACGAGUCAUCGACCGGAGAGACCGAGUCGUUAUAUCAGUUACAAGAUGGCCGGAUUGGGGGCUGUUCCGAUGGCGACAGUAUUCCAGACCCCUUUGAUCUGCCAAACCGGGUCGCGAUCUUCAUGGCCGGUACGCAACCGGCGCUCCACUCUUCGACCGCAACGGUGAUGAUUUCCGGAUCGGCAGUGGCAACACUGGCCGGGGCAGGAGGCCCUGUGCGCCCGCCAGCUCAGGUUCUAUCUGAUUUGUUUGACGCGUUGGCAACGCUGAUGGCGGAGGUUAACCCGGCGGAUCAGGAUGCACACAAUGCGGAAAUCGCGAAAGUGAAAGAUCAGAUCACCCAGGCCAAAGCCGACUUAGCAGCUGAGGAUACAAGGAUGGCCGCGGAGCGGGCCGCUUUGGAUGCACAAGCUUACCGGAUUAUGCUGGAUCAGAGUGCGUCGAACGAAGUCCUAAAGAGGAGGUACCGAUCUCGCCUGCCGCCGGUUUAUGACGCUAGAAAUCUCUUUAACACCCCAGGAGCAGGGACCAGUAAUCCGCCGGUGGUAAACCGGGCGGAGGCACCUGGAGCAGGGGCGCCGGUUCAGCCACGUUUGGUGGAUCCGCCUCGUCAGAACAACAUUGUAACACCGCAUGUCCCCACGCCACUGGGUCAUUACUCUAACCCGAUGGACAACAUUGUCGCUGCCGCUUCACGGCUGGCGGCCAUCCCGAUCGAAGGCGAUUCUCCGGCGGCGGUCGAGACGCGUCGGGUUAAGGAGCUUCUUCAGACAGCCUUGGUUCAACAGGAGGCUUAUUAAUAUAGUCGCGAUCGGAUUCAUUCCACUCCCCGUCCAAGCCGGAGUUACAGCAGGCGUAUGGAUGAAUCGGCGGUGUCAAGAAAUGCGCGGGAACCGUGAUCCGCCCCGUGGCAAUAACCGGCGGGUGGUGCUGGUGAUGCUUAGGAGGUGGUGGACCGGGCUCGGGCACGCAGAGAGGCCGAGUUAGCGGCGCAGCAUGAAGCCCGUCAGCUUACUCCAGUUCGUCCAAACACAUCGGUGGAACCAGGAGUUACCUCUAGUUCUUUGGGAGUGUCGUGUCUCGUCCCGGCGUUGCGCAAUGUGCGCCUGCCCAAGGAUUUCAAGGGCCCGCGCAAGGUGCCGAAUUACGCCGCCGAUUUAUCCCCUGAAACAUGGGUCGAAAGCUAUGAGAUGGCCAUGGAGAUGCUGGAUGUGGAUGAUGCGGCAUGUGCGAAAUACUUCACCAUGAUGCUAGAAGGGAUGGCCCGCACUUGGCUAAAGAGCUUACCGGCUAAUUCUAUCAGGUCAUGGGCCGAGUUGAGAGCCCGGUUUAUUCAGAAUUUCAAGGAUACAUGCAAGCAGCCCAUGUCAAUUGUGGACUUAGCUGCCUGUGUCCAGGAGGAAGGAGAGUCAACAACCCAUUGGGUGCGCCGGGUUUCGGAGAUUUUGCAUUCAUCGGACCGCAUCAACGCUGACACCGCAGUUUUAACAUUGGAAGGCAAUUGCCGUUUUGAACCCCUGAAGUUGAAGUUGGGACGACUCAAACAUCAUUGUAAUGACAUGGGAACCCUCAUGGCUGCACUGGUGAAGUAUGCCGACUCUGAUAGUACCAAGGAUCCCGAGUCUGACGAUGAUAAGGCAGGGAAGGGAAAAAAGAGCGACAACGCCAAGGGGCAGCACCACAACCCGGCGGGUCAUGGAAACGGCGACAAGCGUAAGGCGGACCACGGUUUAGACUUUGUGGCUAAUACUAAUACACAUGACAAGGGCCAGCGGCGUAAGGGUAAACCGCCCCAGCGCGGUGGAGGGCCAAGUCCUAAUUCGGACCGUUUGUCUUAUCUGUUGAACCAGCCCUGUCCAAAGCAUGGGACGAAGGAGAUCCCGUCCACGCACCUCUGGAAAGAUUGUUACAUCAUGCAAGAGUUUAAAAAUUCUGAUUCUUUCCGGUAUGAUCAUGGACCAGGAGGCGGUUCGGGCCCCGGGUCUCAUGGGCCGGGUUAUGGUGGAGGAAAUUUCGGUUCAGGCUUCCACGGUAAUCAGGGUGGACAUAACAAUCAAAGUAAUCAGGGUAACCAAGGUGGCUAUAAUCAUCAGGGCAAUCAGCAGCAGCAGCAGCAGUCGGGUUACCAGAGCAACCCGAAGCAGUUGAAUAGCGGACAGUAUCAUGUCUUCACCACUAGCUUGGACAAGCGCGAUCAGAAGCUUCAUAAAAGGGCGGUGAAUGCCGUUGAACCGGCGUUGCCCCGUUAUUUGCGCUGGUCUGAGCAGCUGAUUGUGUGGAGUAGAGAAGAUCAUCCACCCCGGGUUGACAAUCCGGGUCAUCUGGCUCUGGUGGUGGCGCCUCAAGUGGGAGGUUAUAAGUUCACUAAGGUACUCAUGGAUGGAGGGAGUAGUAUCAAUAUCCUUUAUUAUGAAACUUUCCGUCGCAUGGGGUUAACAAAUAAAUCUUAAACCGUCCAAUACGGUGUUCCAUGGUGUGGUGCCUGGUAAGUCGGCAUAUCCUGUUGGUAAGAUAGCUCUGGAGGUGGCUUUUGGAGAUGAGCAUGACUCGAGAUUAGAAACCUUGACCUUUGAAGUGGUGAAAAUCAGAAGCCCAUAUCAUGCUCUAUUUGGACGGCCAGCUUAUGCUAAGUUUAUGGCACGGCCUUGUUAUGUCUAUCUGCAGCUCAAGAUGCCGGAUCACAAGGGAACUAUAAUCGUGCAUGGGAGCCGCAAGAUUGCUCUGGAGUGUGAAGAAGGUGAUGUGGCUUAUGCUGAGUCGGUUUGUGCAACAGAAGAGUUGAAGUUUUACAAAGACAAUGUUGAUCCGGCAGAUAUGACUUCAUUAAAGAAACCAACUACAGAGCAUGAUCUGGCCCUGAAAUUCAAAUCGGCUGAUGAGACUAAGCUUGUUGACUUCGUGCCCGGCGAUUCGUCCAAGCAAUUUAGCAUUAGCGCUAACUUGGAUCCGAAAUAGGAAAGUGCGCUUAUCAAGUUCAUCCGUGAGAAUCGGGACAUAUUUGCGUGGAAGCCUUCUGACAUGCCAGGUGUACCGAGAGAACUCGCUGAGCACACUCUCAAUAUUGAUCCAAAGUAUAAACCGGUCAAGCAGUUUCUCCGCCGGUUCAAUGAAGAAAGACACAAGGCUAUUGGAGAAGAAGUAGCUAGACUCUUGGCGGCUGGAUUUAUCGUUGAAGUAUUCCAUCCUGAGUGGUUGGCUAAUCCGGUGCUGGUCCUCAAGAAGAAUGGCACUUGGCGUAUGUGUGUGGACUACAAAGAUCUCAACAAAGCUUGUCCAGCAGAUCCUUUUGCCCUUCCCCGUAUUGAUCAAAUUAUUGAUGCUACGGCGGGUUGCGAGCGUUUAAGCUUUUUGGAUGCAUAUUCUGGUUAUCAUCAGAUCAAAAUGGCAGUUAAGGACCAGGAGAAGACAGCCUUCAUAACUCCCUUUGGAGCCUUCUGCUAUGUGUCCAUGCCCUUUGGGCUCAAGAGUGCCCAGGCGACUUAUCAACGGUGUGUGCAGAAUUGUCUUCAUAAGCAGAUCGGCCGCAAUGUUCACGCCUAUGUGGAUGAUAUUGUGGUAAAAUCGAGGAAGAAGGAGACAUUGAUUGAUGACUUGAAGGAAACCUUUGAUAACCUACGGGUUUAUAAAAUGAUGCUUAAUCCGGCUAAGUGUGUCUUUGGUGUACCUGCAGGCAAGCUCUUGGGCUUUUUGGUGUCUAAUAGGGGUAUUGAAGCUAAUCCGAAAAAUAUCAAGGCCAUCACCUCCUUGGCCAAACCGAAGUGUAUCAAUGAUGUUCAACGCCUGGCAGGAUAGAUUGCCGCGUUGAGCCGGUUUAUCAGUCGCCUUGGAGAGAAGGCCAUCCCUUUGUAUCAGAUGCUGAAGAAAACGGAUAACUUCGUCUGGAGUGACGCCGCUAAUGAAGCAUUUGAGGACUUAAAGCGGCAGCUGGCUAAUCUGCCGGUUCUUGCUGCUCCGGUUGACAAAGAACCAUUGUUGCUAUAUGUGGCAGCUAAUGCUCGGGCUGUUAGUGUGGCUAUUGUGGUGGAGCGCAAGGAGGCCGGAAAGGAAUAUCUGGUUCAAUGGCCGGUCUACUAUAUCAGUGAGGUACUUAUUGAGUCCAAGCAGAGGUACCCGCAUUGGCAAAAAUUGGUGUAUGGGGUUUUUAUGGCAAGCCGAAAGCUUAAGCAGUAUUUCCAAGGUCAUCCCAUCACGGUGGUCAGCUCUGCUCCGUUGGGAGAUAUAAUCCAGAACAGGGAAGCAACUGGCCGGAUUGCUAAGUGGGCUAUAGAGCUCGGGCCUCACGGGUUGAAAUACAUACCCCGAACGGCGAUCAAAUCUCAGGCACUUGUGGAUUUCAUCAAUGAUUGGACAUAAUUACAAGCGCCAGAGGAGAAGCCAGAUCAUACUUAUUGGACUAUUCAUUUUGAUGGGUCCAGGCAAUUGGAGGGCUCGGGGGCUGGAGUCGUAUUAACUUCCCCACGAGGUGAUAAGUUUUGUUAUGUUCUCCGUUUAAUGUUCCCUUGCACAAUGCAGCUGAAUAUUAGGCUUUACUCCAUGGUCUUCAGAUGGCUAAGGAGAUGAACCUAAGCCGAGUUAAGUGCUUCGGUGACUCGGAUCUGGUGGCUCAACAAGUGUCCGACACUUGGGAUUCCAAGGACCCACUAAUGGCAGCAUAUCAUCGUGAGGUGGAUAUUGUUGCAGGUCACUUUAAAGGUUAUCAGGUGGAUCAUGUGGACCGGUGGAAGAAUGAAGCGGCGGACGCUUUAAGCCGCCUGGGUUCCCAACGUAAACCGGUUCCACCUAAUAUCUUCCUGGAUGUUUUGCAUCAUCCGUCCGUCAAGCCCCUGGUGAAGAGGAUUUGGCUGUUCCUGAUCCGGAGGCUCAGUUGGUGGCGGCUCUUCACGUUAUCCCGGAUUGGACGGUUCCAUAUCUGGCGUAUAUGAACCGGGGCGAGUUACCAGAGGAUGAGACUCUGGCCAGGCAGAUAAUCCGGCGGUCCAAGUGCAUGACUAUUAUUAAUGGGGAGUUACAUCAUUGCAGUGUGACAGGGGCGUUUCAACGCUGUGUGUCUCCUGAAGAAGGCCGUGAUAUUUUACGUGAGAUCCACGAAGGAGAUUGUGGUCACCAGGCCGGUUCAAAGUCUUUGGUGGCCAAGGCGUUUCGUCACGGUUUCUAUUGGUUGACAGCUCAUGCUGAUGCCGAGGACUUGGUCAAAAGAUGUGAUGGCUGCCAGAAAUUCUCAAGGCGCGCUCAUGUACCGGCUCAAGAAUUGAGGAUGAUUCCAAUCACCUGGCCAUUUGCAACUUGGGGGCUGGAUAUGGUUGGGCCUUUCAAGAGGUCCAAGAACAAGAAGACCCACCUUUUGGUGGCAGUUGAUAAGUUCACGAAGUGGGUGGAGGCAGGGCCAGUUAGUAAGUGUGACGCAGCCACGACGGUUCAAUUCAUCAAAAAGGUGAUCUUCCGGUUCGGCUUUCCACACAGCAUUAUAACAGAGAAUGGUACCAAUCUGUCAAAAGGUGCCAUGAAGGAGUUCUGUCAACGUGAGCACAUCCGGCUUGAUGUGUCAUCAGUGGCUCACCCACAGUCUAAUGGUCAAGCGGAGAGGGCCAAUCAAGAGAUCUUGAGAGGCAUCAAACCCCGGCUUAUGGUUCCUUUGCAACGGACGCCGGGUUGUUGGGUUGAGGAGUUACCUUCUGUGUUGUGGAGCAUCAAUACCACACCCAACAGAUCGACAGGAUACACACCAUUCUUCAUGGUUUAUGGAGCGGAAGCAGUUCUUCCUAGUGACAUCCGUCAUGACUCGCCUCGUGUAGCGGCAUAUGUUGAAGUUGACAACGAGAAGGCACGACAGGAAGCUCUUGACCUCUUAGACGAGGAACGUGACAUGGCGGCAGCCCGUUCGGCGAUUUAUCAGCAAGAUCUGCAUCGUUAUCAUAGCCGCCGGGUUAGAACCAGAACCUUUCAAGAAGGUGCUUUGGUGCUUCGGCUCAUCCAGGAUCAGACGGAUAUGCAUAAACUAUCCCCCCCUUGGGAAGGACCCUUUGUGGUUAGCAAGAAUCUGCACAAUGGGUCAUACUACCUAAUCGAUGUUCGAGAGCGCAAAGACUCACGUAAAUCGGAGGAGGAGACCAACCGGCCGUGGAAUAUUGCUCAUCUUCGGCCCUACUAUACUUGAGCCAUAGGAUCUGCUUAUGUACAUAUUAUGACAUUGUAUAUAUUAUGAUCAAUAUAAUAAACCGGAACCUCAGCUAAAGCGGGGUAUCCGUUGUUACAUCAUGUGUGGUUACAUGGAGCUUACAAAGCGGUGUCCGGUUUACCCCUUGAUUUAGCUUCUCAAAGCUUUAUAUUACAUCACUUGGGGGCUUGGUCGUAUCCGAACCAUAGCUACACCUCUUGAUCGGUGCAAUGCCACAACAUCACUUGGGGGCUUGGUCGUAUCCGAACCAUAGCUACACCUCUUGAUCGGCACAAUGCCACAGCAUCACUUGGGGGCUUGGUCGUAUCCGAACCACAGUCACACCUCUUGAUCGGCUCAAAGCCACAUCAAUCCGGGGCCAAAGAGAGUGUUGUAAAACAACAACUCAAACAUAGGCACCCACUGAGCACAGCUCACAAUGUUGCUUGGGGAUUCUUUGCCGUCGAAAUGAACUAAGAAUCUACACUUGUAACAGGCUAUCAAGCCAUGACUUGGAAGUCUGGUGUAUACACCUAAAACCCCGGGUUAACCUGCCUAUUUAAGUAAGUCACUCCGCCCAGGUAAACCUGGUAUGACCCUUCGAACUUUGACAAGUUACUCUAAAAUGAAGACCCUGAACUUGUCAAGUUAAAACGAUGAUUGGUUAAGGAUUGAGGACCAUCUUAAAAGGCUUUGCAAAAAUGGUUUAACUCAGUGGCCUGGCAGCCCAUGAAAAGCCUCGAAUUUGGGGCCUGGCAGCCCGUGAAAGCCUCGACUACAACGGUUUUUAUUUGCCUUUUGCUAAGUUUUCUUUGUUUCAUAAGAUUUGUGAUGUUUUUAAAACCGGUGUUUAUCAACCCGGUCAGGCUGUCAACUACAAGUUGUCAGUACACGAUCAAAUUAUAAUCCGGAGACUAUCAGCCCGGUCUGGUUUUGACUCAAAGUCACCAGUAUGGAAUAAACCGGUGUUUAUCACAGCCCGGAACGGUUUUCUGAUAAAACGACAUCAUAUAACAGGAGUUACUUCUACUCCGGAUUAGGGUUAUUACCCUCAUUACAAAGUUGGUCAGCCAACCCUAUGCCUAAAGGUCAUAGGUAUCAUAUAUUUCCAUAUUUGGUUAUCUUUUACAACCUUGGUUAUAAACCUUGGUCAUAUAUAUAUUUGGGUAUCAUGACCUGCCCGGUGGUAAACCGCCAGGGCGCUUUAAGCUUCUUAUCUGCAGGAACAACUUGAAUAAAUAGCUAUGGAUUAUGAACAUCAUAUCUUAAGCAUGGCGGAUUAGCAUGCAUCAGUUGCAGAUAAAUAUGCACGAAGGCAUAACAGACCAAGUGCUUUAACUAGCCUAUUACAAGGCAUUUCAGUGCCCAAAGGGAUAACUGUUUCUCAAUAAGCAUUGCAGCACGUGGAAGACUAAACCGGCCCCCGGAUUAUGAUUGCUUAUCAGCUUGACCUGAUGGCUACGGAUCAUCUUGCACCGGUUCAUCUUCUUCGUCUCUACCCAGCGGCUGGAAGUCAACAGUUGUCCAGUCGAUCCCAGUUAAAGCUUGGAACACAGCUUCGUCGCUUAUAAGGGUUGACAGUUCAAUAUCAGGGGCAUAAGUGUGCUUACGGAUUGGAGGGAUCAGAUUUUGCGCUUCACGAGUCGGUGCAGCAACCCGUUUGUUAUUAGUGUCAUAGCUCGCCUGGUAAAAAGAAAGAUCAGCUUCUUCAGCCAGUUGACAAGCCAGUGGAUGUACUUCCCGGUUUAUGGCGCGGAGAUCCUCCUGAUCAAAUUCUGAUCCGUCUUCUUUUAAGCUGGGAUAGCCUUUAGCCACUUCCAUCGGAUCAAGGUCAGGUACCCAUGCUUUUGCCUGGGUUAGUGCGGUCAAAGCACCCGCCCUUGCAGCAGAUCUCUUUAGCUCUUCUACCCGGGCAGGCAGCAUCGACAACCUUGAUAAGGUUUCCUUAAUUAAAGUGGGGGGAGGCUUGUUGUGUGAAGCGGCACAGAUGAUCCGUUGUGCACCGGUAUAUAACUGCUCUAUCAGCGUGUAGGUGGCCUUCAGUUUCUUCUGUACAUCAGAGCCCAGGUGACUAAUGCGAGUUCCUGCAUCAUUACAAAUGUCAGUAAACCGACAACACAUGGGAAAGAUAUGUUGAAAGUAUUAAGGAAAAGAUGUUUACCGAACACAGCAGCAGUCAUGGCAUGAAUCUGCCGCUUUACGCCGGUCAGUUCAUCAACCACCGGUUUAAGAGCGGCUUCUGCGUUUUCAGCCCUUUUUAUCAAAGCGGAUUUUUCAGUCUCCCAAUCCGCCCGCUCUUUGUUGAAGCCCUCUUUUAGUUUCUCCAUAGCGCCUAGAGCGCUGGUCAAUUCUUCCUUUGCUUUGGAGGCUUCAGCUUGCUGGGAUUUGAGGUUCUCUUGCAGAUCAGCGGUUUGGCUUUCCUUCUUGCUUAGUUCAGCCUAUAAAGAGACAGAUAUAUAAUGAGUUGACAGUACAUAUUUGAAGUACCAAGCACAUAACAAGUUAUGCCCUUAGUACUUGGGGGCUAAUGCAUAUUUGCUCUUUAUCAGAAAUUUUUACAAGUCCCAAGCACAAUACAAGUAUUAAGCUUGGCACUUGGAGGCUAAUGUGUAUUUGCUCAUAAAAUGCUGAUAUGGGUAUUCUUCUACAAAGUCCCGGUUCAUCUUUAUAAAGUUAAACCGGCCCUUGGGGGCCACAUCAGUGAAGUUAAGAUGCAUUGUUGCAAACAUGAAAUUGCUACUAAGUCCCGGUUUAAAUUGGUAUCUUAAACGGUCACUUGGGGGCUACUGGAGUUGAUAAGCUGCAAUUAAAUAUAAGAGAAAAACACUUAUGAAGUUACCUCAUAUCGCUCCUUCAUCAUAUUUACCAAACCGACUUCAUAGUCACGGCUGGUGUACAGACGGUUCAGGAAGCCAGAGUGAAGGUCUUGAGCAUUCAGAUGGGCAUAAUUUGACAAAUCGGCGUUCCAUCUGCCUUUGCCAAUUGCAGAGAGCUCAUCUUUGGCAGUAUGCUUUGACAAAGCGACAGGAUUGCCCGGAGCGGUAUGGCCAGUGCCAGUAAUCAUAAUGUCAUCAUCUUUUUCAUCUGCAGCCGUUACUGGGGUUGGCGGUUUGUCAGUAUUUUUAACUGGACUUGCCGGUUUAUUGUCAGUUCGGACAGGGCUGGUUGGCUGGUCAGCAUGGCUUGUGGUGUCAACUUCUGCCUGCUCAGUAACGAAGUCAUGAUCUUGAGCGGUGGGUCAUUCAGUAUGGCAUCAAUGUUGGUCUCUUCAGGAUCUGGAGUUUUCUCCGGUUCAACAGCCACGUCUUCAUCAGCCGGUUUAUUCAACCGAGCUUUCUUGCUGGGUCUGGGCUUGGCGCUGAGAAAAGAUAGACAUGAGGAUCAGUACAGUAUGUAAAGAUAACACAUCAAGAAUAAAGACACGUGCAUAGCUCACCCAUGAACUGUUUUGAGGGGUGGAAGCUGUGUGGCCGAUGACUCGCCAGAAGAUGAGUGAGAAGUACCCUGAUAAUUUGAAUCAGACGGGUUAAGAGGCUGGCGGAAACAACCCGCUUUGGGGCAUGAAGUGUCAAGGGUAUAAGAGACCUCUGAUCGGCGUUUUUCGAACUGGAGUAUUCGGUAAACUGGCGGAGGUAACUACCUGGCCGCUGUGCCGGGUUGUGCGGCGAGCCUCGUGCUGCUGUGUCUUCAAAAGAAAGUUUGGGUCCAAGUAAGCAAGGGGGUGAGAAAAUUUUACUUUCCGGUUUGCUUGACGGAUUUUUGAUGUUGGCAGAGGAUCUGAAUCGGAGGAAAGAAUGGUUACCUCUACGUCAUCAGCAUGACUGCCUUCAGCGUCGUCCUGAUAAUAAUCAUUGUCAAUGAGGUGUACGAAAAAUGAACCAAGAGAGUCAAGUUCUACCUCUGAUUCCAGAUUACCCACAUCGUCGUCAGCUGGUAGAUCGGAGGAUGCAGUGGUACUUUUCUUGGCAGGUUUUUUAACAACCUUGGUCUUUGGACGAACUGGUUUCGCCGGUUUGUCUUGUGGUGGUUUCUUAUUCCAGAACGGAUCAUCACCCUGUCAGAAAAUAAUCACACUUGCAGAGAAUAUUUGGACAGAAGCAACUUCAGAUAAAAAGAUUAUAUGAUUCUUACAGCUAGUGGUUUGUUGAAGGUGCAGAAAGGGAGUAGUCCGGUUUGGGCACAGACAGCCUCCGGUUCGUUCAGCAUCUUUUUUACAACCUCAGUGACUUCUGCAUCUGUAAGCUGAAUGUCAAUGUGCCGCUGAGCAUCCUUGAAACUCCCCGUAUACUCACACAUCAAACCGGAGCACCGGCUUAAGGGCAUAAUACUCCAGCUUAUCCAACAACGAGCAAGAUCAACUCCUGUCAAACCGUUUGCCAUGAAGGCUCUAAGCUAUGAUAAUUGAGGAGGAUAGUUGGCCCUUUCUUUUGCAGUCAACCUCUGAGGAAAAGGAUGUGUGUUGCUCAGGCGUUCAGGGUGGUAACCCGGCAAGGGGUUUUCAUCAGGUGGAGAUGUAUCCUUGCAAUAAAACCAGGUCUGGUUCCACUCUUUGGGGUGACUGUGGAGCUUGUGGUGAGGGAAAGUAGUUUCCUUCCUUUUCUGAACCGCCAUUCCGCCCAGUUCCGUAUUGGGUCCAUCCGAGAACUCUGUGUGACGGUUUAAGUGAAAGAAAUCCCUAAACAGUUCGACUGUAGGUUCCUCUUGCAGAUAAACCUCACAGAAGACUUGGAAGUGGCAGAUGUUGGUCACAGAAUUGGGACCGAUGUCUUGAGGGCGCAACUGAAAAUUGGCUAGUACAUCUCGGAAAAUUUUCGAACCGGGAGGGCUAAAACCUUGACUCAAAUGGUCAGCAAACACGACUACCUCUCCGUCCUUGGGUGUAGGAGGAUUUUCCGGGCCAGGGACCCUCCAGUGGAUGACAUCUUUCUUGGCUAAAGCGUUCGUUUUAACAAGAUUGUUUAACUGUUCUUCGGUUACUCGAGAAGGAGCCCAAUUGCAUUCAUAGACUUUCUUGGCCAUGGCAAUGAAAGAUCUGAAACAUGAUUAUGGCCGGUUUAAGAUUUACAAUGGACAACUAUACAGUGGUAUAAGGAUGUAAGCAUAUUGUUAAACCGGAAUUGGUUAUUCGUAAACCGGAGUCUGACAAUGGAAACAAUACAAUGAUGAAUGCAUUGGCAGUUCAACAGGGGACUAAUGGUAUCUACUUGGUCAUCAUUUUGUAUAUGAAGUUAAACCGCCCAAUCUGGUAUUAAAAGUGUAUAAGUGAAGGAAGAAACAAGUUCCACAUCUUGCCAUGGUAAUUUCAGAUCUACCGCGUGUUGGAAAAACAAAAUAUAUUCUGACCUAAUUUCUAGCGUGUUAAAGGUUCACCAAGUUGAGAUGAGUUUUAUACAAGGCAGAUGUUCUAACAAGGAAGCAGGAGUUUAAAGUACAAAGGCUUUGGAAAAAGUAGAUCUAAACUAGCCAUUGGUACUGCUAAAGAGAAACAAACAGAUUCAAGAACUUCGAAGAACUACGAAGAACGACGAACCCUAACGGUUGAUCUGGAGUAAGAAAGGAGGAACGUACUGGUGCUGAGGAAGCAGCGGAGGAUUGCCGCGUUUUUCUGGUCCGAUCAGGUUCAUGCAGCGGCCGUCGCGNNNNNNNNNNNNNNNNNNNNNNNNNNNNNNNNNNNNNNNNNNNNNNNNNNNNNNNNNNNNNNNNNNNNNNNNNNNNNNNNNNNNNNNNNNNNNNNNNNNNNNNNNNNNNNNNNNNNNNNNNNNNNNNNNNNNNNNNNNNNNNNNNNNNNNNNNNNNNNNNNNNNNNNNNNNNNNNNNNNNNNNNNNNNNNNNNNNNNNNNNNNNNNNNNNNNNNNNNNNNNNNNNNNAGACCCCCUAGCCCUAUUUAUAAGGGUAAUAAGCGUCAGGCGUGAAAAUCGAGGAGCCUAAAUUUUGGAUAUGAGGCGGAGCUGUCGCCUCAAUUGUCGGAGGAUCAUUAAUGAAGGUGGAUUAUACACAGUUUUAAAUAACAGGUGACGUCACGGCGGUUUACCAUGGGCCUAGAAGAUGAUGUCAUGGCGGUUUACAAGAUUAUGUGAAGAUGUUGAAGAAGAAAUUUUCUUAAGUAUUGAGGAUUGACAUGAACCAGUUCAAAUCAAUCUGUGGCCUAAUGUUGGGGAUAUUACCACUGGGCGUAAACCGGCUAGGAGAGGCCGGGUUAACCCUAUAAGUAGUUCAUCUGUAUCUGAAGUCAUGAAGACAGACGGUGACGCUUUAUGAAGGCCCAGGGCCCAAAGCCGGUUUAAGGCCUGUAGACAUAAACCAGCAUUAAUAUGUAAACUUGUGUUGUAAGAUAGAAGUAGCAAAGACCGAGCCGGACACGAUUAUGAGCCGGCCUCGGGAUUCUGUAAACCGACGGGCGUCAACCCAUGUAUAUAAGGGGACGACCCGGCGGUGGUUCAAGGACGACAGACAACAACUUGAGACUCAGGCAAAGCGUAUUCGCUCCCUGGUCAUCGAAACCCCAACAAUUCCAUCACAACUAGACGUAGGCUUUUACCUUCAUCUUAAGGGGCCGAACUAGUAUAAAACUCUCUUGCGUCCCUUGUCCGCUUUAACCCCUUUAAGUUAACCCGUAGAGAUGGCUCCACGACUAAGUCCUUUCUCUAGGACAUCCGCCGUGACAAAACCACGACAUAUAUAUAUAUAUAUAUAUGUGUGUGUGUGUGUGUGUGUGUGUGUGUGUGUGUCACGUCCUAUAUGUUAUGAGUGUUAUCUUAUUAUUAUUUUUUGUGGGUAGUUAUGAGUGUUAUAUAUAUUUUAUGUGUUGUUAUAUUUAUUUGUCCCAAGUUUUGGCACGCCUAACAAUUUUGUUUUUGCGAAUAAAUACUGGUGGGGGUGUGCCAGCCAUGAGAGUCCACAGCCGCGCGUGCGUCCCUCCUAGAUCGGCUAAUCUGUAAAAAAAAGAGAUGGUGUGGAACAAAGUUUGGAUUUAAUUUUGGCCACCCCCACUAGUAUACAUAAACACUAUUCUGAUCACGGGAUGAGAAUAAUAUUCUGAUCACAACCUCACCUGCCCGCUAGUAGUAUGUUGAACUUCCCUCUGAACUAGUUUGAACUUCCGCCAACAUUGCCCAAACGGGGCUUGCAAUAUACCGUUGGAAAGCUAUGGACACCAGUAUCAUGACCCAACUUAACUUUUUGUCAAAAUGUAAGCGGUUUAAUAGCAGUUUUGAAAACCGUUUUUUCUUCACACAAAAAUGUGAACCAUAUUUUUGAUCGCAUUUCUAAAUCAUUUAUCGGAAUGAAGCAAAUAAUAUGGCGUUGGAAAGCUGCUGCAAAACCGCUCCUUCCACAUGUUGAAAGUUUUCUUUAAUUCCCUAUGAUUAAAGAGUAAUUUGGAAAAACGUAAAAUUUCGCAAUCCGCACAACCGAGUUCGUAUUUUCGAUGUCAUUUCUAAACGGCUAAUCCAAUUGAGACAAAUGAUAUGGCGUUGGAAAGCUUAUGAAAAUGCGCUACUUUUUCAUGUUGAAAGAUUUUUCUAAUUUUAAAUGGUUUAAGAGUAAUUUAGAAAACGAUACAAGUCCUACCGAGUUCGUAUUUUCGAGCUCAUUUUUUAACCGUGCAUCCGAAUGCAACAAAUGAUACGGAGCUGGAAAGCUUGAACAAAUGCGAAACCUUUUGGUAUGUAUUAUUUCUCCCAAUUCUUUAUGGUUUUAAGUCAAUUUCGAAAAUGAAAAAAAGGUAUUUUCGCUGUAUUUUCUACAAACUUUAGCGGAUUGAGGCAAAUAAUAUACCGCUGAAAAGCUACGGAAAAUGCGAAACUUUUUCAUGUUGAUGGUUUUCUCUGAUUCCUAGCCGUUUUCAAAUAAUUGCGAAAAUGGCGAGAUCGUUCGUUCUACCUUUAUCGCGAAACAGACUUUUCGAAAAUGCACCGCGUGAAGAACCUGAACUUCUCGGCACGUGUACUUGAACUUCACUCUGUUUUUCCCGUGCUUUUUUUUGCUCCCAGCUCUCCAUCCACUCACCGGAAUUGAGCAAGUGAUAUACCGAUGGAAAGCUGCUGUAAACACGCAACUUUCCUGUGUUGAUCAUUUUUUCAUACUCGUGACGGUUUUAAAAGUUUUUCAUCCAAAAUUCGUUUAGUGUAGUAGUUGAACUUCUGUUGCAGUUUUGUUUUGAACUUCACUCAGUUUUUGACGUGCUGUUUUUUUCCUGUAACUCCCAAACCACUUACCGGAAUUGAGCAAAUGAUAUACCGAUGGAAAGCUAUUGAAAACACGCAACUUUUUCGUCUUAAUCAGUUUUUCAUACUCGCGGCGGAUCAAAAUAAUUUUUUGAAUGCGUAAAAAAUGUGUUUUUAACGGUAUACAUAAAACUUUUAAACCAUUCAUCCAAAUAUAGCAUAUAAUAUAUCGUUGGAGAGCUUAUGAACAUGAGCAUCUUAUUCAUGUAGACAGACGUUACAAAUUAUUGUCAUUUGAGAGAAGUUUUAAAAAUGGCAAGAAUAACGUUGUUUUUUGCCUGUUUUUAACAUGUAAUUGAAGGUCAGAUGUCUCACACUAGAGAUCUCGAACUGCACCGGGAGGAGCACGUGAACUUCUUGCAACAAACCUUUUAGGCUUGUUGUUUUUUAUUUGUUUUAUUCUCAUCUGAAACGCCUUCCGUUUAGUAGUUCAACUUCCCGCUGUUUUCACGUUGAACUUCUGUGACGUAUUUUCGUUUGUAAUUCUUCUCAUCCAUUCGUUAGUGUUACACAAAUGAUUUUCCUUUUGUACAAACCAUUCUCACAAUAAUUUUUUUAAUUUUCUCCGACCGAGGACUUGAACUUAUAACGACAAAAAUUUUGACCUUGCCUUUUUAUUUCAUUUUUGUCAUAUUAAACACACACCAUGUAGUACAUGAACCUUUUCCACUUUUAUAAUUUGAAUUUUUUAUUUUAUUUUUGAAAUCAAAUUGCUCCCAAACAAUAAUUGAACUUCUUUGUGGAUUGAGAGAAUUAUUUUCAAAUGCAAAAAACAAUUCUUUUUUGUGUUUCCGAACAUGGAAAUACAAGGUGAACCUCUCUCGCAAGAAUUUUUGGACUUCUCCGGACAGAGCACUUGAACUUCUUGCAACAAACCUUUUAAAAUUUUAGUUUUCUAUUCUUAUAUUCUUACCUGAAACGCAUUCCAUGUAGUAGUUGAAUUUCCCGCUGUUUUCACCUUGAACUUCUGUCACGUAUUUUUGUUCAACCUCUCUCAUACGAAUUUUUGAAUUUUCUCGGGCUGAGCACUUGAACUUGUAGCAACAAAACUUUCGGCCUUUGAUUUUUUCAUUCUUUUUUAAUACAAAUUGCACAGCGUGUAGUACGUGACCUUCUCGCAAUUAUCAAUUUGAACUUCUCUUGGUUACGGGAAAAUAUUUAAGUUUUUUAUAGACAUUAAACCGCUCUACUUUUUUUAUUGGUUUUAAUCUUUAGUAUUGGGGAAAUCUGAGUUUUUAUAAACAUUAAACAACUUCAUUUUUUUUAAUUUGGACUUUUUGGUGUUAUUCAUUACUAACGGGAAAAGUCAUAGUUAUGUAAUAAAUAUCGAACUGGUCAAGUAUUUAAAGUUGAACUUCUAGAUCUUAACAAAACAGGGGCAAAUAUAUGGUUUACAAACUUUUUAAACUACUCGAUUUUUUAUUCUUUAGUAACGAGGAAAAUCUGAGUUUUUUAUAAACAUUAAAUUGCUCCAUCUUUUAAUUUGGACUUCUUGUUUUAUUUUCCAUUAAUGGCAAAAAUCCAAGUUUUGUAAGAAAAGAAAAACACUGAACCAUUCCCUUAUUUUAAUUUGACCUUCUAGGUUUUUUUAGAAACGGGUAUCAUCCUUUUCUAUAACUUCAAAUUUAAAACAUGAAAAAUCCUUUUUUUAGAAACGAGGGAGAUCAGGGGACUUGAACGACCUGGGUUCACCAAUUUGAACUUCACGCAAAAUUGAAAAACAAUUAUUUACUCGGUUUCUUGCAAACGAGGGAUAUCUGGACGUACAUCAAGUCAAUUUUUUCUUAAGCCAAAUACAGAAACAAUGGAUCAAGAAAAAAACAUAUUUUUAGUUAUUCUCUCGGCUGUUUCCAUACAAACAAAGACAUGUUGUAACUCUCAUUUCUCACCACACUCUGAACUAAAAAAACGUAGAAAAACAAACUUUUGGGGGAUGGUUGGUGCUCCCUCAAGCUUGGGGAAAUAACUACAGGAGAACCAAAACUGAUUUUUUUAAUGUUGGCACUUUAGGUGAAUGAAACCACAUGCUCCUUUUUUUCAUCAAGUAGGAUAACACAGCGAACAUCGAUGGGCGUCUGUGCUCAUCUUUUUUUUAUAGUUUUUGGUGAAGUUCGAUUUUUGCCCUGCUGAUUUGCAGUAGCAUAGUAGUGCAAUCAUAUUGCGGGGCGCUGAUGACCGAAAGUAUGAAAUCAAAACUAUGAGGCCCAGAUCUCGUCAGAGCAUCCGGGAGCGCUACAUAUGUGAACCUCCAGCGGCGGCGUAGUUGAACGACCCAGAGGUGGCACUGAUGAACGUCAUGCUGCAGCGGUGGCGUCGAUGAAAUGAACUUUUUUUACUCUCACAUCACUAUUCAGAACACAUCUAGAAUCAAGGACGAAUAAGAGGAACACACCAAUAAAAUAUUCCAUGCUCAACGUCCAAGCGCAUGAGCAUUAUGCACUUUACAUGAUUAUGGUUUAGUACUAACUAGCACAGCCAGGAGCAACUUUAAUCCUUCAAGAAGAAAAGAGCAACUUUACGUAGUCAGCAACCUAGUUACCUGAACUUCUGAAGAACAAAAACAAGGACGAUGUAGAGUUAGAUUUUCAGAGUGGCAAGUUCCUCUAAAUUGCCAAACAAGAAUCACUUGUGAAGAUAGAUGGGUAGUCGCCUUAGUACAAACAUGCAGAAGCGGUGGCAUCUCAACAAGCAAGGCAACAGAGGGAGAGGAGCAACAGGAACGCCACACCAUUGUGAUCGAUGCUGCUGCGGCUGCACCAUUUGCAUUGCCUGAACUUCUCUACGUCUGUCUUGCGUGCACACUCGUAUGCAAACGUAUGAAGGUAUUGCAUUCUGCUUCUAGCUUGGCUUCUGUUAACACCGCAUGUGGCUGUCAUGUGCACGCGAGCACCACACACGCUCCGCCCGUGAAGCGGACAUAAGCACACAUGCGCCGUUGGACUACACAGGCUCACCGGCCGAACUUCACAGGCUGGAUGGAGCUCGUUGUUCCUUCCAGCGGAGUCGCGCCCAGCGCGGCGAGCAAGACCAUGCCUCAGGCCAGCUCCGUUGGUCACCAACGAGCAGGAUGAUACCACGGGCCAAAGACGAACUAUGUGUACGCGCUACCGAACUGCAGCCUGCCCGGCUCGUGCGUGCCACUGAGCAACCUCGUUCAUGGACCGAGGAGAAGCCACCGGAGCUACUGCCCCAUUCUUUAAGAUCCAAGGAGAACUGAGGAGGAGGAGUAUAGAGGACGUGGAGGGAUCUCAUAGUUAACCUCACCGACGGCGCGGCAGGGACGGG
rnacentral:lncRNA from 1 species